AGUAGCGGAAGGAAGCUCACUGUAGAGGUCACCCACUGAGUGCUCGUCACUCGCCAACACCUCGGGGAAGGUCUGAGACAGGAGCCACUCGCUGUCCUAGCAGGACAUCAUCUGAAUGAUGAGCGAGUGCACAGAAAAUCGGGUCACGCGCGCGAUUCUCGCAGCAGACGUUGAUGCUCGCACACAUUCAGCGGAUCAACUGAUGCGACGCGCGCAGACUUGGAAACACUCGCGGCUGGCGAAUGAGUGCGAUGUGUGAGCUAGCAUAACAUGCUAGAACCCAAUUCAGACUACUCUCCCUCCGCUCA
rnacentral:RNase_P_RNA from 1 species